AACGAACGCUGGCGGCAGGCUUAACACAUGCAAGUCGAGCGCCCCGCAAGGGGAGCGGCAGACGGGUGAGUAACGCGUGGGAAUCUACCCAUCUCUACGGAAUAACCCAGGGAAACUUGGACUAAUACCGUAUACGUCCUUUUGGAGAAAGAUUUAUCGGAGAUGGAUGAGCCCGCGUUGGAUUAGCUAGUUGGUGGGGUAAAGGCCUACCAAGGCGACGAUCCAUAGCUGGUCUGAGAGGAUGACCAGCCACACUGGGACUGAGACACGGCCCAGACUCCUACGGGAGGCAGCAGUGGGGAAUAUUGGACAAUGGGCGCAAGCCUGAUCCAGCCAUGCCGCGUGAGUGAUGAAGGCCCUAGGGUUGUAAAGCUCUUUCACCGGUGAAGAUAAUGACGGUAACCGGAGAAGAAGCCCCGGCUAACUUCGUGC
rnacentral:rRNA from 1 species